rnacentral:pre_miRNA from 7 species
UUCUGCUAGCAGGUGAAAGAACCCCGAUGGGAGACCCUGACUCAAGUCUCAGGAUAGCUGUGGACCUCCAAAAACUCAUGAGAGACC